CCUACGUGAGGCAGCAGUAGGGAAUCUUCCACAAUGGGCGAAAGCCUGAUGGAGCAACGCCGCGUGGGUGAAGAAGGUCUUCGGAUCGUAAAACCCUGUUGUUAGAGAAGCAAGUGCGUGAGAGUAACUGUUCACGUUUCGACGGUAUCUAACCAGAAAGCCACGGCUAACUACGUGCCAGCAGCCGCGGUAAUACGUAGGUGGCAAGCGUUAUCCGGAUUUAUUGGGCGUAAAGGGAACGCAGGCGGUCUUGUAAGUCUGAUGUGAAAGCCUUCGGCUUAACCGGAGUAGUGCAUUGGAAACUGGGAGACUUGAGUGCAGGAGAGGAGAGUGGAACUCCAGGUGUAGCGGUGAAAUGCGUAGAUAUAUGGAAGAACACCAGUGGCGAAGGCGGCUCUCUGGUCUGUAACUGACGCUGAGGUUCGAAAGCGUGGGUAGCAAACAGGAUUAGAUACCCGAGUAGUC
rnacentral:rRNA from 1 species